UACGUAGGGGGCAAGCGUUGUCCGGAAUCAUUGGGCGUAAAGCGCGUGUAGGCGGCUCGAUAAGUCUGCUGUGAAAGUCCAGGGCUCAACCCUGGGAUGCCGGUGGAUACUGUCGAGCUCGAGUCCGGAAGAGGCGAGUGGAAUCCUGGUGUAGUCGGUGGAAAUGCGCAGAUAUCAGGAGGAACACCAAUGGCGAAGGCAGCUCGCUGGGACGGUACUGACGCUGAGGUGCGAAAGCGUGGGGAGCGA
rnacentral:rRNA from 1 species